CCUACGGGUGGCAGCAGUAGGGAAUCUUUCACAAUGGGCGAAAGCCUGAUGCAGCAACGCCGCGUGCAGGAAGGAGGCCUUCGGCUCGUAAACUGCUUUUGUAAGCGAGAAAUAUGACGGUAACUUAUGAAGAAGCAUCGGCUAACUACGUGCCAGCAGCCGCGGUCAUACGUAGGAGCCGAGCAUUAUCCGGAGUGACUGGGUGUAAAGAGUUGGCUAGGUGGCAUAAGAAGUAGCGAGUGAAAUCCGGUGGCUCAACCAUUCAGACUAGUAGCGAAACUGUUACGCUCGAGACCGUUAGGGGUAACUGGAAUUUCUAGUGUAGGAGUGAAAUCCGUAGAUAUUAGGAGGAACACCAAUAGCGUAGGCAGGUUGCUGGGACGGUUCUGACACUAAGGCACGAAAGCGUAGGGAGCAAACGGGAUUAGAUACCCCUGUAGUC
rnacentral:rRNA from 1 species